CUUAGCUGUAUCCAGUGGAGAGUAAAAUUACACUUUUACUCAUCCCCAGUUUCUUUCCAGUGCUUAAAAUUGUUUUCUGAGGCUCAGAAGCCUCAAUAUACGUAAUUCUUAACCAUGAAAAAUGGAAUUUCAAAAUUUUGCAAAUUUAUGACAAUAAGCUAGCCAGACUGCUAUAAUCUGCUUCUCGUAAUAAAAAUCAGAGGGCACCUUGUGGCCACUGGAGGAGGCAUGUAUUCUGGUCAGCCUUGUUCCUAUGGUGAUAUAAGCAUUUGAGCAGAUGCCCUAAAGGCAGUUAGCUAUCACUGUCAUGUUGGCUAAUAGUGGCAGGGUGACAUCGAUCCACAUGGACAACUUUAUUCAUGUUUCCAGCCAAAACCCUAAUCACUUUGCUGACUCUUCCUCAGUCAAACAGGUAGUGAAUGACAGUCAUUUAAAACUUCAAACUUUGAAAGUCAAUGUAUUAGAGCUCAAAGAAAGACUGCAGAGGCAAGUCAGAUACUCUCAGCUCAUUAUGGAUUAAGUUGUCAGUUCUUGAGAUUAGCUUUCUUUGUCUGUGUGUGUGUGCGCAUAUGUGUGUAUGUAUGUAUGUUCUGCAUGUGUUUUGCACUGGCAGGCAAAGAGAUACUCUUUUAGAUACCCCUUCAAGGAAGGACUUGCUACCUAGCAGUAACCAAUGUGGUCAUCAGAUAUCUUCCAGCUCUCAGUAACUUCAGAAUCUGACUCAGCUGCUGCUAAAAGCUGCCUUGCCUAAUCUCAUUUCCUUCCCAGGACAGUGACACCCCAUAGCUGAGCCAUGUGGAGUUAGAAAGUCCUGCUCUAGAGCUGCCCAAGGGGCUGCCUGAGGUCAAUACAGGCUUUUCCAGGCCUGUACUGGAGUUUAACUUCUCUACCCAAUCCUGCUUCCCCCAUUCUUUCUGCAGACAUUGAUCUCUAGUCACCAUUUGACACCUCAGACUUCCUUGAAACAUCUGGUCCCUGAGAACUAACUUCUGCAACGUGUAGCAUUGAGGAUGGCCCAAGAUAGCAGGAAGGAGUUUGGAUCUAGAUCACUCACAGCUCAAGAGACAGUGGGAAACCCAUCAUUGGUGAUAGGUAGAACACAGUCCCCAACUUUGAACUGGUAAAAAUUUGACCUGUGGUAAAUUGAGAGGGUAACUAGUUGAAAGAGAAUGUGUAGCUGGACAUGAAGUUCUAAGCAUUAAAAUGUAUAAGGAAAAUAAUAGCUAUAAGGGUAUGACAUUAGGCUGUUCUUGCUAAGCAACAUUGCUCUUUACAUAAAAAUAAUGAAGAACUGAGGGAGUGAACUAGAAGUAAAAGACAGGUGCAUAACAGAAGGUCUCUCUAGCUGCAUACAGAAAAAGCCCGCAUCUCUUCUGGCAGGGGCAUAAAGAAGCCAUGUGCCAAACCUAAGACUUUCUAAUCAAAGUGGCUGAACCUCAAAGGGAGUUCAAUGCAUUGGUUUGUGACAUCCAGAAAGGUCAUCCCUGACCCCUAAUAUUAGUUUUUAUCAUUUUGUCUUCUAACACUGGCUAUCUUAUGCUUAAAUCUUGGCUCCAUCUACAAUUUGUUUCCAUUUAUAAGGUUAGGUCUAUAUUUAUCGUUUAAAAUGUUGAACAAAACUAUUUUCAAUUUAAGGUAUUUUUAAAAUAGCUACUGUGUUUUAUUCAUUUUUUCUCAAUAGACCGGACUCAAUUCUCAAUGCAUCUUAAAUGACUGAGUAAACAGAUAAAUACGCCAUACCAGUAUUAUCUUGGUCAUAGAAAUUUGGGAUUUACACCAGUAGGUGCUGCAAAACAAUCAAGAUAAAACUGACAUUUUGUUAUGAAAAUGGAGAAGCUAGAUUUAUCUUUUUCAUAUGUAAGAAGUGCCUGUCACCUCCCACCAUGAUUCUGAGGCCUCCCCACCCAUGUGGAACUAAUUAAUCCUGUAGACACACCACACCAGGAUGGAAAUUUUCUUCUUUCCUCGUGCCUAUCAGAAAAUGAGGAAAAAAUAGUGAACACAUAGCAUCCAAUGCACCACAAAAGCCUCCUUAAAAGAGAAGAGAUACUAAAGGUAUCCAGAAAUAUUUCUGAGGACAAAUGAAAGAUAAAGAAUUAAAUUUCUAAAUCAUAAAGCAUUGUUCCAGAUAUUGAUAAUAACAGCCACCAGAAACUUCAAUAUAUUAUCUAAGAAAAGCAUGUGUUUACUAAUUAGAAAGUAAAACAGCACAGGAUAUCUAAAUAUCAAAUAAAUAAUUAAACAAGGCAGUUGAACAUCAUUUGGAUAUUACUGCUUUUAUUGUAUAAUCACUUGUUUUUGUAUUUGAUUAAUGUAAAAUUAGAGGGUGACUCAUAUUUUUCUUAUAUACAAUUUGUUUGGUUGACAAGAACUUUCAAAUACAGAAUCCAUUGAGUAAAGUACAUCUUAAAAGGAUUGUAAAGAAGGGAAUGAUCACCCUACAUAUAAUCACUAGACUGAAUAUAUAUUGUGAGAAGUCAAAUUUGAAAUAAGCAAAAGGUCUUUUGUGGGUGGCCCUUCACCAUUCCCUCUAGCCAUAGUCUUCAAAGAUUGAUCGAAAUUUGUGGGUGGAUCUUUAGCAUUGACAAAAUCAACCAAGGCAUCAGCAGAAACAGCCAUGUUCUUAAUGGCCAUGACUUAUACAUUGAUUACAUGACCCUUUUUCCAAAAUCAGCCAAGCAACUGGCAGAUUCUGAAAAUGAGCAUAGUAGUCUGUUUUCACACUGCUGUAAAGAAAUACCAGAGACUAGGUAAUUUAUAAAGAAAAGAAAUUUAAUUGACUCACAGUUCAUGACUGACUCCCCAGGAAACUUAUAAUCAUGGUGGGAACUUACACUCAUGGCGAAAGGUGAGGGGAAAGCAAGGCACAUCUUCCCAUAGUGGAGCAGUGGGGAGAGACAGCAAAGGGCAAAGUACCACAUACUUUUAAACCACCAGAUCUCGUGAGAACUCACUCACUAUCAGGAGAACAGCAAGGGGGAAAAUUCACCUCCAAGAUCCAAUCGCUUCCACCAGGCCCCUCCCCUGAUACGUGAGGAUUAUAGUUCUACAUGAAAUUUGGGUGGGGACAUGGAAGAAAUUCAACGUUUUCAUUUCAUAUUAAAAAAAAACAGAAGUUAAUACAAGAAAAGUUUCUUUUUAUUUAAAAGAAAAAAGCAAGAUAUUUGGUGUUCUAGCCCAAAUUUUUCAUACUGCAUUACAUGUAUAAGCCUCAAGAAGUUGUUCAUCACUUAUUGGCCCACAUAAUGCCUAAAUUCUAGACUGAGACAAGUUAUGACAUAUCACUGCUUCAGAAAUAUGAGUGAAUAGGAAAAGAAAAAUAACUCAAGGAAUGAAACAAGACAAAAAAAGAGGACUCAAAAAAGUCUGUGUGUGUGUGUGUGUGUGUGUGUAUAAUUAUCAUACUACAGACUUAUUUUACUUUCACUCUUUAAAGGAAGGUUCACUCUUUAUUUAGUAAAAUUGAGCAAAUGUGUCCAUAUCAGCAACUCUUUUACUUCAGAAAUUGAAGUGGGUCAGAAGCCCCCUCUGAGGCAGAAGUUGAAAAUCUGUAGCUCUAUGACCAUUAGAUGAGUUUUUUAUUUGCCCACAUUCCAACUAGCUGCCAAAGGUUAAAACUAAGAAGAUUGCACAGAAAAAAAAAAAACUGUGUUGUGCACUUCUUUUGAAAAAUGGAUUGAUCUAAGAACUCUGAGUCAACAUUUCUGGAACUGAGGGCCAGGAGAAACUCUUACUAUGGAUGUAGACCCUGCAGUUCACCAGAGGCUCCAGCACUCCUCAAUACUUUACCCAACAUCACUAUCACUUACCUGCUCAUAGCUCCUAAUGUAUCAUAUCCUAGGUGCCUAGAGGCUUCUGAGUUUGUGAUCCCUGUCAAAACACUUUACCUUCCAUCUCUGUGGCUUUAUCCAAAUAAAGUUUACUCUCGGUGUUCCCAUCUGAAAAAUGCAUGCAAUUGGCUCUAUUUUAUAUCAUUGUUUCUUUGAUUAUGUAACGUCAUAUGUGAAGGGCCUUGUGCAUAUUCUGGUGCAUUUGCUGCAUAAG